rnacentral:lncRNA from 1 species
CGUGGCUGCACGUCGCCAGCGCCGUCUGCUGCAGACCCGCUCUCAACCCCCUGCGGUAUGGAAUUUCUCUUGCAGGAGCGUUUCAGUGAAAAGGAAUUUGGUUCUGAAGCUUACGAUCUGAAAAACAUAGCAGAAUUUUUUUGCUCUAUGUUGUGUUGCGGUUCCUGCUCAACAGGUGUUUAUUUUUGUGCCUAAAAGGAAGUAUUUGCUUUUCAGAAUAAGCUCCAUAUAUGUAUAUAUGCAUUUGCCUGUGCUUGCCACUAACUGAAACGAGCUUAGUCAGUUUCAACAUUAUUUAUUCCGUGAAGAAUGUAUAGUGUAUUUCUUUCUUUCCUGCUCCGUCUCAGAGGAAGAAGAAAAUAUCCGAAUUAUGUGUUUGAGCUAUGAGGAACGCCUGUUAUAUCAUUUAUUCUCCUACAGGACAUCUUAGUAGCUUUUCUUCUUGAAGUUAUAUUAGAAAUAGGUAACUAGCUUCAUUUCGCAUAGGACAUUCAAGAGUGAGUUGUUUUCUAAGGCUUGAAGGGAAGGAAGCAAGGCAAGUGAGACACUUAUAUAAUUCAUUUGACCGCUCUUCUUUUCUUCAGGUUCUUAUUGGUCUCUUCUUUGGAUGAGCUUUCUGAACACAGUCUGAAGCUUCCAAGAAGAAAAUUCCAUACUCUACUACUGACUUGCUUUCCGGUGUUCUGGUGAGAGAAAAUUUAGAAGCCAAGUUGUGCUAUAGGACAUAGGUAAACCUGCUUAUCUCAUUUAACUUAUGUUCUUGGAAACUAUCCUAAUAUCCUCCUGAUGCUUCCUAUUAUGUUUACACAUACCACUCUAUGGCAACGUGAAGAUAUACUAUGCCAAGGAGCUAAAAAAGGCGCUUGUUUUAUGAGUGCUCAGGCUCUGGUCUGACUUGUGCGGGCAAAGUUGAAAAAUGGUCGUAUGAGCCGAGUCACAAGGAACAAAGGAGUUCUUCAGUGAACUGAGGGAGCAUUUGACAUGUAUCGUGUAUGUGUACACGCACAUUUAGAUGGAAUGUGCUUAUGUUCCAGGGAAACAUUGUUUGUGCUUUAUUCGAUAUCAAAGAAAUAUUGGCAGGAUCCUACGCUUCCAUCAUUAGGGUUAAGCCAUAUUUACUGAAAUUUUUCUAGAGCUAUUCCCAUAGCCCAAACAAUGAAUUCUAG